rnacentral:tRNA from 1 species
GCCUUGGUAGCUCAGACGGCAAGGGCGUCUUGCUUCUGACCGGAAGGUCCUGGGUUCAAUCCCAGGUAGGGGCA